CUCGCCCUCGCAUCCGCUUUUAGUGUCGGUCGUUGCGUUAGUUUUGCCCAAGCCAACUCUAUCUACGCCUCACGCCACGUGUUCAAAAUGACUCUUAGAACCCUGAAAUUCUUCAUUCCUCUGAUGAUGGUCAACAUAAUGUCAGGAGCAUUUUACUGAAAGCUUGACCUAGGUCAGAUGUCUGGUGUGGUAUCAUAUGAUCGGAAUGUAUUAGCAGUACUGUAUUGUUCAUGCUUGAUAGUACAUUCCGAUCAUAUGAUAUCAUCUCAUAUCCGAUCAUAUCAUAUGAUCGGAGUGUAUUAUCAAGCAUGAACAAUACAGUACGAAGUAUUUACGAAGAAAAUUCCAGAUGUGACGCAGGCUAUAAUAUUUGACCUUUUGUGUUUUUCUUGCAAUUUAACAAAGCACUUAUGGCAAGGAAGGCUGUUAAAAUCUAACUAUCGAGACGAAAAGAUUUUUCCAAACAAAUUAAAGUAUGUUUGGUAAAAAAUAAA